CUUCACACCAGAAAACUGGCAUCCAUCUUGGCAUAGGGGACUCGAGCCGGUAGAAAUCAUGUCGGAGAUGGAAGCUAGCUCUUGUAGUUCGAUUCAGAGAGGGAAGCCUGAAGCCCAGCUCUGCAUAAAUAGCGGGAUGCAUACCCGUAAUGCUGCACUCUUUAUCGAAGACUCGAACCGGGUAAAACUUCCAAUUCUCUUAUUUCUUCUCACUGGGCUUCGAUCGAUCGAAAUACUGACCAAGAUUUCCAAAUUUAUUUCUUCGCUGCUGCAAAAUUCGGUGUGGCAAUCGGACAAAUUUCUAUAGCGGUAACUCGUCAGUCAGCUGGUGUACAAAGAGCUUGCGACCCAUUUUUGGCUUAAUUGUGUCUCCUCCACCGCUGCUUUUAUAGUCAUUUAGCAAAAGGACACCUCGAUCAUCUCUGUUAGCAAAGUUACAGAGAAGAAACGAAGACCAAAAAAACAAGGGUGAGGCUUCAAUCGUUUUGCUUGAUGUGAUUGGUACUUUGUAUGGUUUGCUUUGGAGGUGGUGGUUUAUCAUAUUGGAUGGGAGACAGAAGGCUGGGAGGCUCUUUAGUCGUGGCGGGUAUUUCUGUUUUUCAAAGAGACUUGCAGCCUAGCUGCCUCAAUUAUGCAUAUUCUGAAGCUUCUGCUCUGCUGCAAAUAAGUGGAAUUAAGCUUCCAUUUUUCUUUUUGUGUAGCCGUGACCAUGAAACCAAAAGCAAGGACUUCAUUUUCCUUUCUUGCUGAUCAUAAGAUUGCUUUUCCAUCUUGCAGACACAGUUUUGAAGAAAAAGCAUCGCAGACGCCAUUUGAACCAUCACUUGCCAGAGGUGGUCUUAUCUUCACAAAAUGUUGCGACUUGGCCACGUAUUUAUCUAGGAGUGAAUAGGCAUGUUCCAUCCUUUAUAGAAGUUGAUCUAUCCCUCCAACAUUUCAGCCACUAUCUUGUGCCAGGUAACAGGAACCAGACGACUCCCACCUCUCUUCCAUUUGUGUGGCUGCAAACUAGUGAUCGAGGGUGAGCCAAGUGAACGCCGCAAACUUUGUGAUCAAGGGUAGCGUAACAUCUUGGCUUUGGUGCUGCACAAAGAUUCCUCCAGAGCAGUUUCUUCACUUUGUGUGCCCAAGAACUUUGCAGACUCGUAGUUGGUGUGAACUGGCAGCCCCAGGCCUUCACUUGACACUCGUUUUUGCCACCCAUAUGCAGGACGCACCGCGAUACAGGCAUCAAAAACAAGUGCGGUGCACCCUCUAGUUUGGACCUUGCUUCUGCCACCCAUACGCAGGACGCACCGCAGUAUAGGCAUCGAAAGAAGGCCGAAAACACAGGUGAGCCCCUUCCCUUGCCGAAAUCACUUCUCCUCCUUCAUCUCUUGAAUGUGCUUCUUUUUUGUCUCCUUGGACCUGCACUGUUUGUUAACACAAAGGCAAAUGGAGGUGUAUUUGGUUGUUUUGUUUUCUGAUUUUGGUGGGCAACAAUGAGGGAUUUGAGGCUUUGUGAGCUGUGAAGGUGUUGUUGGCAUAUUUGGCCGGAGUGGUUUGUUUGGGGAAUGGAGGGACUGUUUCUGGUGCUUAGAAGUAGAGGCAAGUCUGCACUUACGAAGACUUCAGCAACGAUGAAAGGAAAUAGUAGGAAAAGACCAUGGAACCAGCAGGAUACUUGACUUUAAAGCUCCUCGCCGGGUCGUCGUCUCCAGCCUUGUGUUCCUUAUAUAGGGGGCAGUGAAGAUUCUAGAGGGCUGGAUAAACAUUUGUUUGAAAUUUGAAUCUCCCGAAGCUCACGAAAAUAAGUUGUUGAUCGGAGACUUCGUCUUUGACUUUGAGAUUGAACUUGGAUGCCCGCUGCCACUUUGUUCUUAUCUCACUUUGAGAUAUUUGAAUCACAAUUUGAAUGCUUUCUUCUGUUUCUGUUUUUUUCGUAGCUUAUUCCCGUUGAAACUUGGUCAAACAUUCAACUUGUUUGAAUUUGAGAAAUAGAUAAUUUGAAACAUUUGUUUAA